rnacentral:rRNA from 1 species
CAGCCGCCACGGGAACACCAGCAGCCCAAGUGGUGGUCGCGCUUAUUGGGCCUAAAGCGCUCGUAGCCUGGCCGGUAAGUUCCCCGUGAAAUCGGGUCGCCCAACGAUUCGGCUUGCGGGGAAUACUGUCGGUCUUGGGGCCGGGAGACGCCGAGGGUACUCCGGGGGUAGCGGUGAAAUGCUGUAAUCCUCGGGGGACUACCAGUGGCGAAGGCGCUCGGCGAUAACGGGCCUGACGGUGAGGGGCGAAAGCUGGGGGCGCGAACGGGAUUAGAUACCCGUGUAGUCCCUGUCUCUUAUA